rnacentral:lncRNA from 1 species
AUGUCCCCAUGUCCCUGCAUCCCUGUGUCCCUGUGUCCCUGCAUCCCCAUGUCCCCGUGUCCCUGUGUCCCCAGGCCCCUGCAUCCCUGCAUCUCCAUGUCCCCGUGUCCCAGUGUCCCUGCGCCCCUGCACCCCUGGGCCCCCACGUCCCCAGGGCCCCCACAUCCCCACAUCCCUGUGUUCCUGUGUCCCCACAUUCCCAUGUCCCCACAUCCCUGUGCCCCAGUGCCACCGUGUUCCUGUGCCCCUGUUUCCCAGGACCCCUGGCCCCCCUGUCUCCACAUCCCCGUGUCCCCGUGUCCCUGUGACACUGCGACCCUGGGCCCCCAACGUCCCGUUGUCCUGCAUCCCCAUGUCCCUGCAUCCCUGGGUACCCUGGGUCCCCAUGUCCCUGUGUCCCUGCACUCCCAUGCCCCCAUGUCCCGCUGUCCCCGUGUCCCCGUGUCCCCGUGCCGUGGCCGGCGGCCCCUGGGGCUGGGCGGGGGGCGAGCGGGGGCUGCCGGCGGUUCCCUGCCCGGCUGCUCCGCUGUUUCCAUGGCAGCUCCUGGUCUGGCCGCGAUGGCAGGCGGCGAUUGGCUGCGCCCGUGCAGGGAUGCAGGAUGCAGGAUGCGGGAUGCGGGAUGCGGGAUGCGGCGGCGGCAGCAGCAUGGAACGCUUUGGGCACGGGGAGGGGGCAGCGGGAGGGAGCCCCCCGGCCUGGGCAGGGCUCUGCAUGGGCAGGGUGUAACCUGGGGGGGUUGUGCAGGAGCAGGGUGUACCCCAGCAGGGUUGUGCAUGGGAGGGUGUACCCCAGGAGGGGUUGUACAUGGGCAGGGUGUACCUGGGGGGGGGGUGUUCCUGAGCUGGGUGUACCCCAGGAGGGGCUGUGCCUGGGUAGGGUGUACUCCAGUGAGGUUGUGCCUGGGCAGGGUGUACCCCGGGAGGGGUUGUGCCUGGGCAGGGUGUACCCCGGGAGGGGUUGUGCGUGGGCUGGGUGUACCCCAGCGACGUUGUGCCCAGGCUGGGGUCUGCCCGGGUGCAGAUGUGCUGCAGCCAUGGGCCCCAGCUGCGGCUGCGGCUGCGCCCAGCGCUCGCCCUGAACCGGUCCCGAACCAGCUGGAAGAGCCCCAAAACGGCCACAGCAGCGGUGGGGCCAGCAGGGCCCCCCGGCCUCCACGGGGCCACGCGGGCUCCUGGGUCCCGGCACGGCAUGGCACGCUGCCGCGGCCGAGGGAGGGAGAAACAUAUAGCUCUGCCUAUAGGUGCGCCUCGGCUUAUACCUGCACCCAUACUGGCACCCUUACCUGUACCUAUAGCAGCACCUAUAGCUAUACCUAUACCUAUGUUGGUACCUGUAGCAGUACCUAUUCCUGGAGCAGGAUGCAUAGCUGUACCUAUACCUAUAGCAACAUAUAUACCUGUAACAGUAUCAGUAGCAGUCCCUAUGCCUCUAGCUCUAUGACUAGAGCUGUACCCAGAGCGGUACCUGUAGCAGUACCCAUACCUAUAGCUGUAGCUGUAACUGUAAUGGUACCUGUAUGUAUACCCAUAGCAGUACCUAUAGCAGCACCUAUAGCUCUACCCCUUGUGGCACCUAUAGCGAUACCUAUAGCUCUACCUGUAGCAGUACCUGUAGCAGUACCUAUAGCCCUACCUAUAGUGGUACCUAUAGCUUCACUUAUAGCAGUACCUAUAGUGGUACCCAUAGCUCUACCUAUAGCAGUACCCAUAGAGUCACCCAUAGCUUCACCUAUAGUGGUACCUAUAAUGGUUUCUAUAGCUCUACCUAUAGCGGCACCUAUAUGUGUACCUAUAGCUCUACCCCUAGUGGCACUUAUAGUGGCACCUAUAACAGCACCUAUAGCAGCAUCUACAUGUGUAGAGCUUAGAGCACUUAGAGCAGCACCUAUAGUGGCACCUGUAUGCGUACCUAUAACAGCCCCUAUAGCAGCCCCUAUAUGUGUACCUAUGGCCAUACCUGUAAUGGUCCAUAUAGCGGCCCCUAUAGCGGUACCUAUAGCUCUACCCAUAGCCGAGGCGGGGGUGGUGCUGGUCGCGCGCGCUCCGCUGGAUACAGCGCUGCCGCUCGGCACCGAUUGGCUGCGGCGGGCGCUGCUCCAGCCAAUGGGAGAGCGGCGG